UCCGCAUUAGUGUAGGGGUUAACAUACUCCGCUUUCAACAUUAGAAAGGCGCCGGAGAGCCCCGGGUUCGAUUCCCGGAUGCGGAA
rnacentral:tRNA from 1 species